UGUAAGCGUAUACCAAAGUUGUUGCAGUUAAGACGCUCGUAGUCGGAAUUUGGCAGUUCCGGAUGUGUGCACGUCGUGUGCGCACUUCGCGGGGAUUGCUUUUGUGGUCUUGCGUAGGAUGAGGCACUUUUAUUAGUGAACGUCCUCACGCAACCACUUUUUACUGUGAGAAAAUCAGAGUGCUCAAAGCAGGCAUUUGCCGUGAAUGUAUUAGCAUGGAAUAAUAGAAUAGGACUUGGUUCUAUUUUGUUGGUUUGUUGGGACUGAGUAAUGAUUAAGAGGGACAGUUGGGGGCAUUUGUAUUUCGGUGCUAGAGGUGAAAUUCUUAGAUUACCGAAAGACAAACUGCUGCGAAAGCGUCUGCCAAGGAUGUUUUCAUUGA
rnacentral:rRNA from 1 species